GAUGAAGAACGCAGCGAAAUGCGAUACUUGGUGUGAAUUGCAGAAUCCCGUGAACCAUCGAGUCUUUGAACGCAAGUUGCGCCCGAAGCCAUUAGGCCGAGGGCACGCCUGCCUGGGCGUCACACGUCGUUGCCCCCCCAUCUACUCCUUCGGGAUUGCGGGGGGCGGAUGAUGGCCUCCCGUGCGCCUCGUCGCGCGGUUGGCCUAAAUGCCAAGUCCUCGGCGACGCACGCCACGACAAUCGGUGGUUGCGAAACCUCGGUUGCCUGUCGUGUGCGGUCGUCGCGCAUCGAGGGCUCGAAAAAAUUGCCGGGCUUCGGCUCGACUUUCAACGCGACCCCAGGUCAGGCGGGGUUACCCGCUGAGUUUAAGCAUAUCAAUAAGCGGAGGA
rnacentral:misc_RNA from 1 species